CCCCCCGCCUCUCUUUGCGAGCGAGGAAGAAGCCGCGUUUCUCAUUUUCCGACCUCAGAUCGGACGAGAUUACCCGCUGAAUUUAAGCAUAUCACUAAGCGGAGGAAAAGAAACU
rnacentral:rRNA from 1 species